GACGAACGCUGGCGGCGUGCUUAACACAUGCAAGUCGAACGGAAAGGCCUCUUUCGGGGGGUACUCGAGUGGCGAACGGGUGAGUAACACGUGAGUAACCUGCCCUUGACUUUGGGAUAACUUCAGGAAACUGGGGCUAAUACCGGAUAGGAGCUCCUGCUGCAUGGAGGGGGUUGGAAAGUUUCGGCGGUUGGGGAUGGACUCGCGGCGUAUCAGCUUGUUGGUGGGGUAGUGGCUUACCAAGGCUUUGACGGGUAGCCGGCCUGAGAGGGUGACCGGCGACAUUGGGACUGAGAUGCGGCCCAGACGCCGACGGGAGGCAGCAGUGGGGAAUAUUGCACAAUGGGUGGAAGCCGGAUGCAGCAACGCCGUGGGCGGGAUGACGGCCUUCGGGUUGUAAACCGCUUUCGCUCAUGACGAAGCUUUGUGUGACGGUAGUGGGUAAAGAAGCACCGGCUAACUACGUG
rnacentral:rRNA from 1 species